UGCAAGUCGAGCGAACUGAUUAGAAGCUUGCUUCUAUGACGUUAGCGGCGGACGGGUGAGUAACACGUGGGCAACCUGCCUGUAAGACUGGGAUAACUUCGGGAAACCGAAGCUAAUACCGGAUAGGAUCUUCUCCUUCAUGGGAGAUGAUUGAAAGAUGGUUUCGGCUAUCACUUACAGAUGGGCCCGCGGUGCAUUAGCUAGUUGGUGAGGUAACGGCUCACCAAGGCAACGAUGCAUAGCCGACCUGAGAGGGUGAUCGGCCACACUGGGACUGAGACACGGCCCAGACUCCUACGGGAGGCAGCAGUAGGGAAUCUUCCGCAAUGGACGAAAGUCUGACGGAGCAACGCCGCGUGAGUGAUGAAGGCUUUCGGGUCGUAAAACUCUGUUGUUAGGGAAGAACAAGUACGAGAGUAACUGCUCGUACCUUGACGGUACCUAACCAGAAAGCCACGGCUAACUACGUGCCAGCAGCCGCGGUAAUACGUAGGUGGCAAGCGUUAUCCGGAAUUAUUGGGCGUAAAGCGCGCGCAGGCGGUUUCUUAAGUCUGAUGUGAAAGCCCACGGCUCAACCGUGGAGGGUCAUUGGAAACUGGGGAACUUGAGUGCAGAAGAGAAAAGCGGAAUUCCACGUGUAGCGGUGAAAUGCGUAAAGAUGUGGA
rnacentral:rRNA from 1 species